rnacentral:lncRNA from 1 species
GAUGUACUCCCAACCUGAUUGAUGGUAGCUGCUAUGGAUAAUAGAUAGACUAGUGUUCUACCAUGCACCGAAUGAUUACCAUGUGCUGAUUGGAAAUUAGCAUCUACUGAUAGUUCAACUGCAUGCUUGGAAAUUAGCAUCUUCUUUCUAUGGGUUCCAGACUUUUGGAUGUAUACAAAUUUGCUCUAUGUUUUGAACUUUUGUAUUGGAUCUUUUCUUGUUAGAAUGUGAAAAUGUGGAACAGAAUUUGAAUGAUGAUGAUUUAUUAGUGCACGGGAUCAUCUUUUAAAGUGGUUGGGCCGUGGCACCGCACGGGCAUUUCCACUAGUCUAUACCAAUAUAUUAAAUUGGAGUAGGUGAUGAUGGUACGGACGUCGUGGUAUGUCACUUCACCGAAAUUACGAAUCGGCCACCGUUGUCCCCACACGCCUUUUAAUCCCGUCUCCCGCGGUCCUCAAGCACAGAAAAAACACAUGUUGCCUAAAAAAGAAAAAAAAAACAACAGAGCCCUCCUCGCUCCUCCUCUCCUACGAAUCUCAACCCCACCCGAUUCGGAUCUCGACAGUGCCCGCCGCCGCUCUUGGUCGCCUCCACCAGCUCGUGCGCGUCGGCGGCGUCCGUGUGCGGAAGGCAGCUGCGGACCCGUGGCUCCGUCGCGCGC